UGAAGCUCGUGGAUACAAUUGGUUGUGAAUAUUUAAUCACAGAAAAUAUUAUAAACGAGUCGGUAGUUUCAGUCGUAUAAAUUUAGUAAAUAUUAAGCAAUAAUAAAAUUCCUAAAUCCAAUAAUAAAUUUGGUCGUCUCUUCAACAUGAUAAAUAAUAACAUUUUCUUUAUUAAAAAAAAGAGCCAACACUGGUGCUGCCACUUUUAUAGAUGGGAAGUUUGAAAGGUAGGAUAAAUAAGGUUAUUUAAUUUAUAUCUGUAAGCAACGGUAAAUCAUUGCUGACAAAAAA